CUGUAUCUUCAAAAUACCAAAGUUUCCAAAGGACUUCCAGAAAAGGUUGGAAAACGAAGAGCCAUGUCACAAAAACAGCACUGACUGGCAUACAAUUGUUUGAGUUCUACAGGAGGCAAUGGCACAAUACACACUGUAUCCAUCAAACUGUGACUAUGUGAAAGUGGCCAGAGCUCUUAUCUUAAAGUUUACUUUCUUGAGAGAUGUGGAGGGCAAUGGAUAUGUAAGUGUUUUAUGUCUUAUGUUCCGAAUUUUUAAACACUUAAGUUUUGUAGUGAAAAUAUAACGGUUCUAAUCAUUAUCAAAUUUGAUUGAGGCUGGAAUGAAUGAUCAUCAAUUUGGAUAUUUAUUUGGACAGCUCUAGUGUUUCGAAACAAGAACAAGUAGUCUUAAGGUUUUUCGUUUGACUAACGCCACUUCUAAAUGCAGAAAUGUCUUUUUAACUUGUGCUUGUGUGAAUGUGUUUAACAACUGUCCUUUGGUAGGACCAGCAGCCAGACGCUGUUGGUGAAGAUUCCAUCUCAGUGGAUGCUCAUGUAAAGAUUCUACAAGAACAGUACCAGAGGACACAACCAGACAUUGCUGUAGUCAAAUGAGCAAAUGACUUGGACGUUUCACUGGAGAAGAAGAGCGAUCACACAUGGCAUGAUGACUGCACAAGUUAUUGAAAAAUACCCCUUCCUUCGAACAGCCACUGGCGAAGUCGGGCGAAUACACAGUCACUGACCUAAAUCAGCGCUGACCGUGAGAACUUCAGUGAGAUGGUUCCCAGUCUGCUGAAGCUGUUGCGAGGAAAAUCUACAGUUGAAAAAGCGUAUGCAGACUCGAGAGGAGAGGCACUUGUU